rnacentral:misc_RNA from 1 species
GCAUGUUUAGUGUCUAAACGGUU